UCUAAAGAUGAUGCAGGAGCCAGAACUAGGGGCUGGAUAAUGGAGAAGCUUGCAUGCUAAACUUAUUACGAACUUUAUUUUGAAAGUAGUGGAACGUUAUUGGACCACUUCAAAAGCGGAGUGUUACGUUCAGGCUUGAAUUUUAGAAAUAUCUGUCUGGUAGCCAUGUGCAGGUUGGUUGGAAAGGGAGGCAUCAGACAGGAGACGAAUGAGAAAGCUGUUGCAGUCAUCUGGGACCCCUAUUUGUGACCAAUUGUAAGAUCAUCUGAAGAUCGAGUCCGAUUGCCUGGCCAGGCCGGGCUGGGUGGUAUGUGCCCCCGUCACGCCGGAGGUUCCUGCUUUAGCGACGCCAAAGAUUGGGUGUGAGGGCAGCCCGCGGUGACAGAGACACGGAUCGGACCGAGAGAAAAAGGCUGUGGGCUUCACUGAGCAGAGUGACGUCAAUUCACAGGACCUCCACAGUGUGCCUUUUGCUGGGUAGGAAAAUGCCAGCCAGCUUGGAAAACAAGAAGACACAUUUAUGUCUACCAUGAGCAUUGGCAUCAGCCAAUUAUCCCACACGUUUUCGGCUAGUCAGUGCUGAAGAGAGCAAGAAUUUCAACCCUUCUUGCUACAUUCAAGACAUAGAAAUCCAGCCAGAAGACAACUCGAGAUAUUUUGUGGAUCUAUGCCUUUCCUUCAGAAAAGCAAAUAUCUACCAUAAAAAAACACUGGUCCAAUAUUCACUUCUAUAAGAAAUGCAGGGGCAAAUAAAUUAUGGAUUUUAUUAUCGCUAAUAGAGUCACUUAACCAUUACUCCUUACUACAUUCUGCUUUUCUAACAAAAUUUCGACUGAAUAUUCUCCCUCAGAGCCUCCAAAAGGAACCAACUGAUGACAACUGAUUUUGGACUUCUGGCCUCCUGAACUAUAACAAAAUAAACAUCUGUUGUUUUAAGCAAGCCAGGUUGUGAUUGUUACAGAAGCUCUAGGAAACUAAAAUACUUAAUAUCUAAGUAUCUUAAAACUAAGAUACCUUCUUAUACCUUCUUAUCAUGCGAUCAUAGAAAAUAUGUCCAAUUAGUCACAAGUGGGAUUGGGCAAGAGAAGAUGGAUAAGGGGUGUAAAUCCUUCACCACAAUUAAGAAAUUAUACGUAGAAAUUGCAUUCUAUUGGUGAAGCAAUAAAAUCAUUGUUGGGAAUAAGAACAGCAUUACAGUGUGGUGGCUCAAACCUGUACUCCCAGCAAUUUGGGAGGCUGAGGCAGGCGAUUCA
rnacentral:lncRNA from 1 species